rnacentral:rRNA from 1 species
AUUGAACGCUGGCGGCAGGCCUAACACAUGCAAGUCGAACGGUAACAGGAAACAGCUUGCUGUUUCGCUGACGAGUGGCGGACGGGUGAGUAAUGUCUGGGAAACUGCCUGAUGGAGGGGGAUAACUACUGGAAACGGUAGCUAAUACCGCAUAACGUCGCAAGACCAAAGAGGGGGACCUUCGGGCCUCUUGCCAUCGGAUGUGCCCAGAUGGGAUUAGCUAGUAGGUGGGGUAACGGCUCACCUAGGCGACGAUCCCCAGCUGGUCUGAGAGGAUGACCAGCCACACUGGAACUGAGACACGGUCCAGACUCCUACGGGAGGCAGCAGUGGGGAAUAUUGCACAAUGGGCGCAAGCCUGAUGCAGCCACGCCGCGUGUAUGAAGAAGGCCUUCGGGUUGUAAAGUACUUUCAGCGGGGAGGAAGGGAGUAAAGUUAAUACCUUUGCUCAUUGACGUUACCCGCAGAAGAAGCACCGGCUAACUCCGUG